AAUGAACGUUGGCGGCGUGGAUUAGGCAUGCAAGUCGAGCGUGAUCAGUUCCCUCACUUUGUGCUCUUUGUAGCGAAGAGCGUGAAGUGAGGGGACUGUGAAAGCGGCGAAAGGGAGAGUAACGCGUAGUUACGUACCCCGAGGACCGGAAUAGCUACGGGAAACUGUAGGUAAUGCCGGAUAAUAUCUUCGGAUCAAAGGUGUGAUUCCGCCUUGGGAGCGGACUGCGUUGUACUAGCUAGUUGGUAGGGUAAUGGCCUACCAAGGCGAUGAUGCAUAGCGGGUGUGAGAGCAUGACCCGUCUCACUGGGACUGAGACACUGCCCAGACACCUACGGGUGGCAG
rnacentral:rRNA from 1 species